GGACUCUGGGAUCACGCCCUGAGCCAAAGAAAGACGGUUAACGACUGAGCCACCCAGGCGCCCCCAGAAAGAGAUCUUUAGAGCAUAACCUUCACUUGGGAGCAGAGGAGUGGAGGAUGAAGUGAUUUGCCAACCUCCAACAGCCAGCUCGUGACAGGCACCAAACUGCAAGUUUCUCUCCUCAUGUUUGUGGGGACGUCAGGCUCUCUGUCAGAGGCUGGGAAACUUUCUAGAUGUGAAGAAGUAACAUGAGGGGCGCCUGGGUGGCACAGCGGUUGAGCAUCUGCCUUCGGCUCAGGGCGUGAUCCUGGCGUUAUGGGAUCGAGCCCCACAUCAGGCUCCUCUGCUAUGAGCCUGCUUCUUCCUCUCCCACUCCCCCUGCUUGUGCUCCCUCUCUCACUGGCUGUUUCUAUCUCUGUCGAAUAAAUAAUAUCUUUAAAAAAAAAAAAAAAAAAGAAGUAACAUGAAGUUAGUCCAUCUGAUAGGCAAUCUGCUUAAGACCAUUGCAGACUUUUUCCAUGUGGCCUUCACCCUAAAGUCUGGGAAGAAAACAUCUACAGUGUCCUUUCUACGGAUUAGAGGAAAGAGAGAGGCACGACGUUCUAUUUUGGGUAGGAAUAUCCACGUCCGAGAGGGACGCACCGAUUUCUGCGGAUGUCAUCUGCCCGGCAAACACCCUUUCCUGGGACUCCCAGGGAACAUGAAUCUGACGUGGACCCCCCUCCCCUUCCUCCUGGAGCAAACGUCUUCACCCCAAGCCUGCCUCUCUCCACACAGCAGACAGACAACCCCAAGUCACGGGUCCCUGGAGGACACCACCGAUCCUGGGAUGUGACCAUGAGGUGACCGUGGCUGAUGCAUGGGGUCAAUGUAAUCAGAUCAAGGAUGUGGCACCAAAGCGGAUUUCUGCAGCAUUCCACCCCUGCCCUCCACCACCAGCUGCUCCAGGCACAAGCGCCACAAAGCUGCUCACGAUGUCACUGGCCCUGCCUGCUUUGCCAGUGCGGGAACCAGACUCCUGCACUGCUCCUACGUAACAAGGACUUCAGGCUGUGAGAUGGGGGUGCCUGUUCCCGGGGCUGGCUAGACUCCUCCUGGACCUGACACAGAAGCUGACAGACUUGCACGCCAUGCCUCCAGAUCUUUGAGGCCCUGGCCAAAGACUUGCCUGUGAACGCUUCUUCCCCUGCAGAGGGAUCUGGUACCCAAUCACGCACCAUCCUGCAUCUCUCUCUCGGCCUCUCCCCCCCGCCCCACUCCACCCGACAUGCCUGCCACGGUGACGGUGACACUUUGUUUGGUGCAAGACAUGAUGGGGAUGGAGGAGUUGGGGAGAGAGCACGUUAUGGGGAUCUGUGGAAAAGCCUGGCUUCCACCCAGCGGCUAUACAAGCCGGGCUGGCUGGGUCGAUGUGCUCACAGGCUGCUCUCAUAGGAAUCCCCGAAGGCAUUUAAGAAACAAAACAGAGGACCAAGGGGCAGGGAGGGAAAAAUAAAACAAGAGGAAACCAGAGAGGGAGACAAACCAUAAGAGACCCUUAAGCAUAGGAAACAAACUGAGGGCUGCUGGAGGCGAGGGUGGCGGGGAAGGGGUAAGUGGGGAUGGAAUGAGCGCUGGGUGUUAGAUAAGACUGAUGAAAUCACUGAACUCUACCUCUGAAACGAAUAACACACUGUAUGUUAAUUAAUUGAAUUUAAAUUAAUUUCAAAAAAUAAAGAGAGGACUCUGGAUGGUGCUGGGCCUGCACAGCUCCCAGUCCUUCUGGCUGGCGGGGGUCCUUCUGGCCGGCCUUCCUUCGGCUCCCUUCUCCGCAGCAGGCUCGCGCCGGGAUGAUUAGGGAUGACAGCCAACGGGAAAACCCACUGCCUUUACAGAAGCACAUCCCUGAGCGGGCACAGCACCGAAGGAGCCACUUCCUGAAGGAGACAAGGCGGAGUCAGGACUCAGGCGGGUGCCCGCUGUCGCCUCCUUGGCCCGCAGGGGGCGCUGUGCCCCCUGAAUCCGCUGGCCAAGUGGAGACCAGAACUUUUUCCUGGGCUCCCCUUGAGAUCUGGGGACAUGGGGGCGCCUGGGUGGUUCAGUCAGUUAAGGGUCUGCAUUAGGCUCAGAUUAUGAUCCCGGGGUCCUGGGAUGGGGCCCCCAUCGAGCCCCUCAUGGAGACCCACAUCUAGCCGGGCAUUGGGCUCCCUGCUCAGUGGGGAGCCUGCUUCUCCCUCUCCCUUUGCUAUUCCCCCUGCUCCUACUCUCUGUCUCUCUUUCAAAUACAUGGAUAAAUAAAAUCUUAGAAAAAAAAGAAAAAAAGAUCUCGGGACAUGGGUUUGGAAGUGUCCUGGUUACCGGCACAGGGCUGGAGGGUAAUAGCUGAGAAAGCAGACGAUUCAACCAGUGUAAUUACAGCCUCUCUUUCAGAUUACAGAUUUCUGAGUUUCGCCAUAACGUUCGUGCUGUUCAGCUGCUCUUAGUAUCGAACUGACCACCUUCGGAUUUGCAUUCCAGCACGCAGGUAGGAAGAAAAGGAAGUAGGAUAUCUCCGAGCGCAUACUUACGCUGUCAGCUUGACAGUUCGGCUGUACUGGAAAAGAGUUGAUUUCAUCUUGUAACCCAUUAUACACACGACCCACAUUUUAUUUUAAGUGCGCUCCAUGAGCAACGGCCCAGCAUGCUUUACCCGCUGAGCCAGCCUGGUGCCCCCACACAAGCCAUUUCCGGAGGAGGUUUUUCUACUCACAAGGCAGCAUCCAUAUGUGACUUCUUUCUUUACCCUGUGGCUCCACCGAAAAGGAGUGGAGGCUCUGAAGCAAGGAAACUCGACUCCAGGGCAUGGACUGACUGGCCAGGUGACCAUGGACUAAACUGGUGUGGACAGUUUACCGUCCUGGAAUAAUGGUGACAAAACUGGAUACUCUGACUUUCAUUUCCCCCACGAUGCCAGGAGCUGUAGUUUAUUGUCUUCCUUUGUGACCCUUAGCUUGCUCUAAAAGUGCUUUCUAGAAAUCUUUAAUGGGCCCUUGCGGUAAGUCCUGUUGGCGCCAAGGAUUUUUUGUAGACUCCCAUUUUCAGGAUGGGAAGAUUCCCUUCCCUUCUGUCCUGGUCUCCACCCGUGAAUGGAUUGUGCCUUUUAUUGGCUAAUUUUUCUGCAUCUAAUGAUACAGUCAUGUGGUAUUUCUCUCCUAAUCGGUUAAUGGUGUGGGAUUGUAUAAAAUUUCUGAACAGAAGCGACUCCAUUUUGAAGCUGCAUUUUCCUUUUCAACUAAUGAACUCUUGAGCUGGGCCAGAAAUGCAGUAGUUUUACAAGCAGUUGGUCAUAAAAUUUCAACAGGGCAACUGGCAUUAGGAUCUCGUGAGGACAGUAAAGUUAAUUAAUACAUACCAGGGGCAAUUUCAUUUGAUAGCACCAAUAAAGUAAUCAAUAAGGUACUAAUGAGAAGCGGCUCAACCGAUUAGCACCAAAUUAUCAGGGUUUUUUAAUUUUUUCCUUCUCUUCUUUAUCUAAAUCACAUAAUUACCCCUUCCUUCUUUUUCAUAAAAACCUCUAGCUCUCCCCACAUGAAGGGACACUUUUCUGGUUAUUCUGGAGUCUGUGCUCCCCGAAUUGUAACUCUGGGACCCCAAAUAAAAACCUUUGUUCUUUUUUCAGUUUCGCCUUCUUUUUUUUUUUUUUUAAGAUUUAUUUAUUUAUUUAUUUAUUCAACAGAGAUAGAGACAGCCAGUGAGAGAGGGAACACAAGCAGGGGGGAGUGGGAGAGGAAGAAGCAGGCUCUCAGCAGAGGAGCCUGAUGUGGGGCUCGAUCCCGUAACGCCGGGAUCACGCCCUGAGCCGAAGGCAGAAGCUUAACCGCUGUGCCACCCAGGCACCCCUCGCCUUCUUUUCUUGGUUAACAAUGGGGUGACUUGCAUUAAUUGAAUUUAGAGUACUA
ensembl:lncRNA